ACCUUUAAAAAGUACAUUCCCAGCCCUCAGCAAGUGGAAAGAGGGGCCUUGAGGCGAGGCGGCUCCCCCAGCGCUAGCUGGGCCCCCCACCCCCACGGCGCCCGGGUCCCAGGUUCGGGGUGGGCGCAAAGGGCGCACAGGCUGGCAAUUUCGCCCGAAUCAGAUAACCUGUUUCCUGGGUCCCCCCCUCCCCCGUUAAAAAAUAGACCAGUGAGGGAUCCUUUAUGAUUCCUCCACCCGCCAGAUCCCACCAGGAGGCAGCGAGGCCCCCUCCCCCCUCCCCGGGUCCUCGGGCCCCUCCGCCCGCAGACUCCUUUGCUCCCCAGCUGGGUGGCGCCACCCCGCAGCCCCAGCCCGACGUGAGCAAAAGCGCCUUCACCUGGGCCAGAAGUUUCUAAGACUUCAUUACCUGGAGAGAGAGAGGGAGUGACAGGGAAGAGGACGAGCAGGGGAAGAGCAGGGGAGAAGCCGACUCCCCCGCGGCUGAGCCGGAGCCUCGGCGCUGGACCUCAGGCCCCCCAGACGGUGACCCGGGGCGAAGGCGCUGGACCUCAGGCCCCCCCAGACGGUGACCCGGGGUGAAGGCGCUGGACCUCAGGCCCCCCAGACGGUGACCCGGGGCGAAGGCGCUGGACCUCAGGCCCCCCAGACGGUGACCCGGGGCGAUGGCGCUGGACCUCAGGCCCCACAGACGGUGACGGGGCGGGUGGGCGAAGGCCCUGGACCUCAGGCCCCCCAGACGGUGACCCGGGGUGAUGGCGCUGGACCUCAGGCCCCCCAGACGGUGACCCGGGGCGAUGGCGCUGGACCUCAGGCCCCACAGACGGUGACGGGGCGGGUGGGCGAAGGCCCUGGACCUCAGGCCCCCCAGACGGUGACCCGGGGUGAUGGCGCUGGACCUCAGGCGCCCCAGACGGUGACCCGGGGGGAAGGCGCUGGACCUCAGGCCCCCCAGACGGUGACCCGGGGGAAGGAGCUGGAGCUCAGGUCCCCCAGAUGGUGACCGAGGCGAAGGCAGAGGCUGAACCCACCGCGCCACCCAGGCCCCUGGGCUAGCCCUAAUCGAAGGAAUUGGAAUUGACUGAAGUUACAGGACUGAAAUAAUAUCAUCCUGGGUUUAAUAGGUGGAUACAAACAACGCUUUUUCAAUUCUCCGUGGAAAGAUCAAGUAAACAUUACUUCCUGGGUGGCAGCUGCCCACGAGCAGGAAGACAAGGAGGAGUCAACCCACUCCAAGCAGAUGGAGGAAUCUUGGCAGUGUCUUCUUCUAGCUGGCCCCAGAGGAAGGAAGUGCUCACAAGGUCCUGGUUCUGAGGACUCUCUCAAGCUGUCUGUGGACCAGCUGGAGCAGGUUGGCCAGGAAAGUAUACCUGGAAGGGAGUCUGUCGGCUUCCUGUGCUUUGCCAACUCUCCAGAACAUUCAAGGAACGCUGACAUCUGCUGUCCGCACUCAGCUGGAGGGUCACACUCAGCUUCAAGGGAGACAGACCCCUGACCAGGUGUCCUCUGCUGUUCCCUCCCUCGCCAAGAAUACCUCUGACUUCGGGCAAAGUGUUCUAGUUCACCUCCAGCUCUUCCUGCCCCAAGGCCACCUAUAUUCCUAUUGAGCCUGAUGCCACCCUCUGAGAGGAUAUUUUAAUAAUCUUUGUUUUAAACUAAAAGACAACCUAUAGAAUGGGAG